rnacentral:rRNA from 1 species
UAGCGUAGGGGGCAAGCGUUGUCCGGAUUUAUUGGGCGUAAAGAGCUCGUAGGUGGUUCGGUAAGUCGGAUGUGAAAUCUCCAGGCUCAACCUGGAGGGGUCAUUCGAUACUGCCGUGACUAGAGGUCGGUAGGGGAGUGUGGAAUUCCUGGUGGAGCGGUGAAAUGCGUAGAUAUCGAGAGGAACACCUGCGGCGAAGGCGGGUUGCUGGGCUGACACUGACGCUGAAGCGCGAAAGCUAGGGGAGCGAACGGG